rnacentral:lncRNA from 1 species
AAGAAAUAGAAAAUCUUAAGAAGCGUAUUAAACAUCCCUUGACAGUUUGAAACUAACAAGCCCCUUCCUUAAUUGCUUUCCUCCAUUUCCAGAGGAUUGGAAAGAAGUUAUUCCUGUUGCAUGAAUACAUAGUUCACAAUUAACAAUACACUGUAUUUUUUAAUCAGUAGAUUUUAAAAAUAAUAACAGCUCUGUAUCUUAAUCAGAAAUGAAACUCUUAUCAUGAAUAUAGCUUGAAAAUGCUCUUUUAGAGGAAAAAUUGCUACCUGUUUUUCAUUUGUUUUGC